GUAGGUGGCAAGCGUUGUCCGGAAUUAUUGGGCGUAAAGCGCGCGCAGGUGGUUCUUUAAGUCUGAUGUGAAAGCCCCCGGGCUCAACCGGGGAGGGUCAUUGGAAACUGGGGAACUUUGAGUGCAGGAGAGGAAAGUGGAAUUCCACGUGUAGCGGUGAAAUGCGUAGAUAUGUGGAGGAACACCAGUGGCGAAGGCGACUUUCUGGCCUGUAACUGACACUGAGGCGCGAAAGCGUGGGGAGCAAACAGGAUUAGAUACCCUGGUAGUCCACGCCGUAAACGAUGAGUGCUAAGUGUUGGGGGGUUUCCGCCCCUCAGUGCUGCAGCUAACGCAUUAAGCACUCCGCCUGGGGAGUACGGUCGCAAAGACUG
rnacentral:rRNA from 1 species